CGAUGAACCUCCUUCGGGAGGGGAUUAGUGGCGAACGGGUGAGUAACACGUGGGCAAUCUGCCCUGCACUCUGGGACAAGCCCUGGAAACGGGGUCUAAUACCGGAUAUGAGCCUGGGAGGCAUCUCCCGGGUUGUAAAGCUCCGGCGGUGCAGGAUGAGCCCGCGGCCUAUCAGCUUGUUGGUGAGGUAACGGCUCACCAAGGCGACGACGGGUAGCCGGCCUGAGAGGGCGACCGGCCACACUGGGACUGAGACACGGCCCAGACUCCUACGGGAGGCAGCAGUGGGGAAUAUUGCACAAUGGGCGCAAGCCUGAUGCAGCGACGCCGCGUGAGGGAUGACGGCCUUCGGGUUGUAAACCUCUUUCAGCAGGGAAGAAGCGAAAGUGACGGUACCUGCAGAAGAAGCGCCGGCUAACUACGUGCCAGCAGCCGCGGUAAUACGUAGGGCGCAAGCGUUGUCCGGAAUUAUUGGGCGUAAAGAGCUCGUAGGCGGCUUGUCACGUCGGAUGUGAAAGCCCGGGGCUUAACCCCGGGUCUGCAUUCGAUACGGGCAGGCUAGAGUUCGGUAGGGGAGAUCGGAAUUCCUGGUGUAGCGGUGAAAUGCGCAGAUAUCAGGAGGAACACCGGUGGCGAAGGCGGAUCUCUGGGCCGAUACUGACGCUGAGGAGCGAAAGCGUGGGAGCGAACAGGAUUAGAUACCCUGGUAGUCCACGCCGUAAACGGUGGGCACUAGGUGUGGGCAACAUUCCACGUUGUCCGUGCCGCAGCUAACGCAUUAAGUGCCCCGCCUGGGGAGUAC
rnacentral:rRNA from 1 species